ensembl:lncRNA
UUUUACCCCAUAAAUUAUGAGUAGUGCUCCAUAUCUGCUCAGCUUUUCUGUAUGGUGGCUGAUUGUAUGAUAGGAGUUUCCAUUAAGCAGGUAUGCUUCUUGAAGCUAUAUCUGAAUAGAGAUUACUUGUAUCUUGAUGUCAAGAAGCCUUACUGAUGCAGCUCUUUGUUCUUCAACCCUGGCUCAGUGAGAAACAGUGACUGAAAAAUAUGGGAAGAAAUAACGGGGGGAAAAAAGCUCUACGGAGGUCAUGUGAGGCAUCAUAAAACCAGCUUCAUCAAGUCUUUGGUGUAUGUUUACAAAGAAUAAUAUAGGCUGCUUCUACAAAAUGAGUCUGAAAUCUCUGAAAAGACGAGAGAAUCUGAGGAUGUGGAAGUGACACUCUGUAUUGUCUAUCUGUUCAUUUUAAGAUUCAGUUUGUGGUACAAGGGUGAUUUAUGGAUGCUGUCAGUGAACCACAAACCAUCUGUCUGCCUUCUGAUAUCCUUGUAUCUUUCAGUGGUAUCUUGCUAGCUGGCUGUAGUGCACUUAUUGGCUUUUUCUGGGAAGGAGUUCCGAAGUAAAACCAUCUCUGUUCAUUCUGAAAUUAUCACCUCUUGCAAAAUUAGUAUAUCCACACUUAAAACAUGCUAUAAAUCUGUUCAAACAGAUCUUAUUGUCUGGCAGGCAUUUGAUAACUAGUUUGUUUCAACAGUUGCUUUUGCCCACAAAUGCUACAGUGUUGGCAUUAAAAAGCAAAUGUGUGCCACUAGACAUUAUACAAUGUUUUAUGAAAUAUUUUACACACUUCUGAAUAUAACUGCAGAAGAACACUUUGCUUCUUCAUAGAGUACUACUAAAUAAUGUUUCCAAUAAUACUAUGACCCUGUGUAUGGAUAGCUUUCAUUCAGGUCAGAAGCAGAGGAUUUAAAAGCACUAACUAAACUAAUUCACAAGGGAACUGAUAUAAUAAGCAAUUUGGCACUGACAAGUGAAUUCUAGAAAAUCUCAUCACAAUAGGAAAUGUAAUAUGUUACACUAUAUUUAAUGAGUUUGAGAAAUUCAUUUUAAUUCACAAGAGGAAAAUAAUGUGCCUAUAUUACAAAAUCAUAGAGUGCACAAUCAACAAUACUGGUGCUAAGGAAGCAACAUGGAAAGGCAGAAGCCAUUGUCUGGUCCCUAAUGUUUUAGGAAAAUAGGACAAAUAUAGAAAUGCAUCUCUAAUAAUGAGGAACUAAAAAACACUGUGCACCCCACUUCUGUGCUCCAUAUCAUUAAUUCACUGGGGAUUUUCAGAGAAUGAAAGUAGAAUCACUGCUGAGAAAAGGUUAAGGCAAAGUGACUUAAUUGAGAACAGGAUAACACUGUUUCUGAUAAACACAACAUUUCUAUAGAAAAGAUUUCUACCAGUAUCAACUGAAACAGUCACACUGAAGAAAAAACUGCAAGAUGAUCAAAUUGCAUUCCUGUGAAAAAUAUGCUGAUCAGUUAGAGAAACACUAAAGACACAUGGCCAAGAGAUAUGUAUGUACUUAAACACAAUCUCUACAAAACAGUAUCUUGCAAUUCAGUGUAAUAUAAAAUUCAUUGCUUCAGGGAAUAAACUAGGACUUUCUAGGAUUUUUUUUCUGCCAGUUAUAGAAAAUGUCAUGCAUAUGCAGCUGAAGUGAGUUUAAAAAGAAAUAAUGCAAUUAAUGUUAAAAUUACUACUUAAACAUUUGGGGCUAUCUCCAGUAGCAAACACAGCAGAAUUAUCCCACAUGGCUGUCCUACCACAGAAUGAGAUCCUGUAAUUGGUAAUAAGAAUUCAUGUAGCUGCUGUCACCUAGAAGUUGGCCCUGAUUCUUCUGAGCAGUGACAAUUUCUAAGUGAAUGCUGAAGGUAGUGGUACAUACAACAAUUGCACAGAGACUAAAUAUGUACUGUACUCACCUGCUCAGAGAUCUUGUCCUGGGCACAUGGAGGAGGCAAAAAAAAACUACCAGAAUCUCCUAGGUAGCUUUGCAUGCUGUUUCCCAUAGGAAAGAGUUACGGAACGGUUAUCCCUAAGGACUAUUCUUUUCUGUCUUUCAAACAAAUUGAGUAAAAUACAGUUUUCUGUGAUAGCUAGAAAUGAAAAAUAGGGUGAACUGAAAAUAUUGCGGCUUAUAAAUGCUAUCAUAUGCACCUACACUCAAGUUUUUUUAAAAUAUACACCUUCAGCAGGUAGUGCAUUGUUGUAGUUAUUUUUACUGUGUGUAAACAUUUAAAAACAAGCGUAGCCUUGCUAUUCUUCCCAUGUUAUGUUCUUAUGAUAAGAAAGAUGGCUCCACUUAACACCCUACACUUUGCUCUCUAUUUAAAUAAUGUCACUGUUAAUCAGAAAACAUUUCCCUGAACAUCUGUUAUCAACAGUUACUGGUGCACCUACAUUUUUUUUCCUCAAAUACAGCAGAUUUUGUACAAAGUAUGGGCAGCAAUAAAAAACCAACAUUUUUAU